CCUCAAAAUGCAUCAAGCAAUACUGGAAUAGAAAGUGACUGGGAAACUGCCUGCAGAACCAAAGACAUCAAAAUGUAGCUAUCAUAACUCAAGUUAGCUCUUACACUGACCCUGGUUACUGGAAGCAAUGGAGGCCUGUUCUUUAUAUGUAUCAACUCGUUGGAUUCUCACAACUUCCUCCUGAGGCAGCAACACCUACAGUAUGACUAUUUUAUAACGAAGCCAUCAGCAGUACGGGAGUUCAUGGCCUUACACUAGCGUGGACAAAGUCAAUAUGACCAUUGCGUUUCUGAGCAUGUCAGAAGUGCACUUCAUCCACACUCUUCCCACAAAAAUGACCCAGAAUUGUUUGUGAACCACACAAUACAUAUAUAUUAUGGAGAAAGUAGGAAGUGCUGUUAAAUGAAAAGAAGAAAAGGAAGCUCUUCUGUGAUUAUACCUUCUAGAGAGUACCGCUGUUAAUAUUUGGGCAUCUAUUCCCCCAGAAUUUGAAGAUGAUGAUCAUGAAGAUGAUGAAGGAUGAGAGCUUCAUGAGAUGGGGACUGUUCUAAGCCCUGUCCUGUGGUUUUCCUGUGCCUAGAACAGAGCUAGCACAAGGUAGGCACUCACUGAGUGAAUGAAUGAAUACUCUUGAAGUUAUUUUCAAUUUUUCCCUAUUAAUAAUAUUUUAAAAAUUUAUUUACUUCUAGGAGGUUUUGAAGUUUUAACAUUUUCUUGUAGUGUAAUAUACAACCUUCUGGUUACUGCUUAAGAACCAAAAUGUCAUUCCCACAGUGAUGUAAAAACGUGCUGUGUCUAAGGAUGCCCAUUUGGUUGAAGAGCAAAAAUACUGAAGCCGAAGUAAAGAUGCAUGGUUAUGUUUAAAAUAAUAACUUUAAAAAGUCUCUUUCAUGAGAUUGUUUUCAAAGAGUGCUUUACCAUGUGGGCAAAUUUUAACAAAAAUUGCUCAAAUUAGCUCCAAGUACAAUGACAUGCAUAAUGCUUUGAUUACACAUAUGAAAUUCAUUUAGUCAAAAGAGACUUUGAGUAGGAAAAAUGCAACUUUGUAAGAAAAAAAAAAAACAAACCCAUUACUAUAAUGAUAGAGUAGCUCCCCCAAGAUCUAAUCACAUGCACAUUUAGAAGAAAGCAUUUUAUAGUCUCUGUAACAGUAACAUCUGGUGACUUCCUGACUGUUCCACAACAUCUCGACUCCGCUUCCAAAAUUCCAUUUUGUGUCAUACAAAUCUGUAAACUUGCCUGCAGAGAUGUACUUGGACUGAAUUUUCCACUGAACUUAAAAAGUGUGCUACUGGGGCACCUGGGUGGCUCAGUCGGUUAAGCGUCCGACUUCGGCUCAGGUCAUGAUCUCGCGGUCCGUGGGUUCGAGCCCCGCGUCGGGCUCUGUGCUGACGGCCCAGAGCCUGGAGCCUGUUUCGGAUUCUGUGUCUCCCUCUCUCUCUGCCCCUCCCCUAUUCAUGCUCUGUCUCUCUCUGUCUCAAAAAUAAAUAAACGUUAAAAAAAGUUAAAAAAAAAAAAAGUGUGCUACUAUUCCUCAGUACCUUGACUUAGGGUGGAAUAUAGUAAUGAAUGGGAAGCCAAGAUCAAUGAGGCUAGGAGAGCCACGUCGCUGUUAUGCUGCAGUUAUGAUGUAGUUAACACCUUGGAGAUGUUAAGGAGGCGAU